rnacentral:rRNA from 1 species
GACGAACCGUGCGAACGUUGUUCGGAAUCACUGGGCUUAAAGGGCGCGUAGGCGGACUGCCAAGUCCGGGGUGAAAUCCUCCGGCUUAACCGGAGAAUUGCCUGGGAUACUGGCGGUCUUGAGGGAGGUAGGGGCACGCGGAACUUCCGGUGGAGCGGUGAAAUGCGUUGAUAUCGGAAGGAACGCCGGUGGCGAAAGCGGCGUGCUGGCCCUCUUCUGACGCUGAGGCGCGAAAGCCAGGGAGCGAACGGG